rnacentral:rRNA from 1 species
AACGAACGCUGGCGGCGCGCUUAACACAUGCAAGUCGAGCGAGAACCUGGGCUUCGGCCCAGGGGACAGCGGCGAACGGGUGAGUAACACGUGGAUAACCUGCCCUCGGCACCGGGAUAGCCCGGGGAAACUCGGAUUAAUACCGGAUGGCCCUUUCGGCUCUCGAGCCGGUCGGAAAAGGUAGCUUCGGCCUCCGGCCGAGGAUGGGUCCGCGGCGGAUUAGCUUGUUGGUGGGGUAAUGGCCUACCAAGGCUCCGAUCCGUAGCUGGUCUGAGAGGACGAUCAGCCACACUGGGACUGAGACACGGCCCAGACUCCUACGGGAGGCAGCAGUGGGGAAUCUUGCGCAAUGGGCGAAAGCCUGACGCAGCGACGCCGCGUGAGGGAGGAAGGCCUUCGGGUUGUAAACCUCUUUCAGGAGGGACGAAGCUACUCGGGUGAAUGGCCCAGAGGGUGACGGUACCUCCAGAAGAAGCCCCGGCUAACUACGUGCCAGCAGCCGCGGUAACAC